rnacentral:rRNA from 1 species
GCGUGCCUAAUACAUGCAAGUCGAGCGAACAGAUAAGGAGCUUGCUCCUUUGACGUUAGCGGCGGACGGGUGAGUAACACGUGGAUAACCUACCUAUAAGACUGGUAUAACUUCGGGAAACAGGAGCUAAUACCGGAUAACAUAUUGAACCGCAUGGUUCAAUAGUGAAAGGCGGCUUUGCUGUCACUUAUAGAUGGAUCCGCGCCGUAUUAGCUAGUUGGUAAGGUAACGGCUUACCAAGGCAACGAUACGUAGCCGACCUGAGAGGGUGAUCGGCCACACUGGAACUGAGACACGGUCCAGACUCCUACGGGAGGCAGCAGUAGGGAAUCUUCCGCAAUGGGCGAAAGCCUGACGGAGCAACGCCGCGUGAGUGAUGAAGGUCUUCGGAUCGUAAAACUCUGUUAUCAGGGAAGAACAAAUGUGUAAGUAACUGUGCACAUCUUGACGGUACCUGAUCAGAAAGCCACGGCUAACUACGUGCCAGCAGCCGCGGUAAUACGUAGGUGGCAAGCGUUAUCCGGAAUUAUUGGGCGUAAAGCGCGCGUAGGCGGUUUUUUAAGUCUGAUGUGAAAGCCCACGGCUCCACCGUGGAGGGUCAUUGGAAACUGGAAAAC